UACGUAGGGCGCAAGCGUUAUCCGGAAUUAUUGGGCGUAAAGAGCUCGUAAGUGGUUUGUCGCGUUGUUCGUGAAAACUCACAGCUCAACUGUGGGCGUGCGGGCGAUACGGGCAGACUUGAGUACUGCAGGGGAGACUGGAAUUCCUGGUGUAGCGGUGAAAUGCGCAGAUAUCAGGAGGAACACCGGUGGCGAAGGCGGGUCUCUGGGCCGAUACUGACGCUGAGGAGCGAAAGCGUGGGGAGCGAACAGG
rnacentral:rRNA from 1 species